rnacentral:rRNA from 1 species
CUGGUCGAUCCUGCCGGAGGCCACUGCUAUUGGGAUUCGAUUAAGCCAUGCGAGUCGAGAGGGUUCGGCCCUCGGCAGACUGCUCAGUAACACGUGGAUAACCUACCCUUAGGCGGAGGAUAAUCUCGGGAAACUGAGAAUAAUACUCCAUAGAUCUAGGAUGCUGGAAUGCAUCUAGAUUGAAAGUUCCGGCGCCUAAGGAUGGGUCUGCGGACUAUCAGGUUGUAGUCAGGGUAAAGACCUGACUAGCCUACGACGGAUAUGGGUUGUGAGAGCAAUAGCCCAGAGACGAUAUCUGAGACACGAUAUCGGGCCCUACGGGGCGCAGCAGGCGCGAAAUCUUCACAAUGUGCGAAAGCACGAUGAGGGAAUCCCAAGUGCUGGCACGUAAGUGUCAGCUGUUUCUUAGUCUAAAAAACUGAGAGAGUAAGGGCUGGGUAAGACGGGUGCCAGCCGCCGCGGUAAUACCUGCAGCUCAAGUGGUGGCCGCUAUUAUUGGGCCUAAAACGUCCGUAGCCGGUUUAGUAAAUGCCUGGGUAAAUUGUGUAGCUUAACUAUACGAAUACCGGGUAGACUGCUAAACUUGGGACCGGGAGAGGCUAGAGGUACUCCUGGGGUAGAGGUGAAAUUCUGUAAUCCUAGGGGGACCACCAGUGGCGAAGGCGUCUAGCUAGAACGGGUCUGACGGUGAGGGACGAAGCCCUGGGGCGCAAACCGGAUUAGAUACCCCGGUAGUCCUGGCCGUAAACGCUGCGCGCUAGGUGUUGCAUGCUCUACGAGGGCGUGCAGUGCCGAAGAGAAGUUGAUAAGCGUGCCGCCUGGGAAGUAUUACCGCAAGGUAGAAACUUAAAGGAAUUGGCGGGGGAGCACCACAAGGGGUGGAGUCUGCGGUUCAAUUGGAUUCAACGCCGGGAAACUCACCGGGAUCGACGGCAGAAUGAUAGCCAAGCUGAUGACUUUGCUUGACGAGCCGAGAGGAGGUGCAUGGCCGUCGUCAGCUCGUACUGUGAAGCGUCCUGUUAAGUCAGGCAACGAGCGAGACCCGUGCCCUUAGUUGCGACGUCUUCCCAUCUGGGGAGAUGGCACUCUAAGGGGACCGCCAGUGAUAAACUGGAGGAAGGUGCGGGCGACUAUAGGUCAGUAUGCCCCGAAUGUCCCGGGCUACACGCGGACUACAAUGGAUGGUACAAUAGGUUUCGACUCCGAGAGGAGAAGGAAAUCCCCAAAGCCAUCCCAAGUUCAGAUUGUGGGUUGCAACUCACCCACAUGAAGCCGGAAUCCCUAGUAAUCGCGUGUCAUCAUCGCGCGGUGAAUAUGUCCCUGCUCCUUGCACACAC